UACGUAGGGACCGAGCGUUGUCCGGAAUCAUUGGGCGUAAAGAGCGUGUAGGCGGCCACUUAAGUCCUGCGUGAAAUCUUGCGGCUCAACCGCAAGCGGUCGUGGGAAACUGGGUGGCUAGAGUGCGGGAGAGGAGAGUGGAAUUCCUGGUGUAGCGGUGGAAUGCGCAGAUAUCAGGAAGAACACCGGUGGCGAAGGCGGGUCUCUGGGCCGGAACUGACGCUGAGGAGCGAAAGCGUGGGGAGCGAACAGG
rnacentral:rRNA from 1 species